ACGAACGCUGGCGGCGUGCUUAACACAUGCAAGUCGCACGGAAAGGCCCUGCUUGCCGGGUACUCGAGUGGCGAACGGGUGAGUAACACGUGGGUGAUCUGCCCUGCACUUCGGGAUAAGCCUGGGAAACUGGGUCUAAUACCGGAUAGGAGCCAUUUUUAUUGUGAUGGUUGGAAAGUUUUUUCGGUGUAGGAUGAGCUCGCGGCCUAUCAGCUUGUUGGUGGGGUAAUGGCCUACCAAGGCGGCGACGGGUAGCCGGCCUGAGAGGGUGGACGGCCACAUUGGGACUGAGAGAAGGCCCAGACUCCUACGGGAGGAAGCAGUGGGGAAUAUUGCACAAUGGGCGCAAGCCUGAUGCAGCGACGCCGCGUGGGGGAUGACGGCCUUCGGGUUGUAAACUCCUUUCGCUAGGGACGAAGCUUUUUGUGACGGUACCUAGAUAAGAAGCACCGGCUAACUACGUG
rnacentral:rRNA from 1 species